GUCCACGCCCUAAACGAUGUCAACUGGUUGUUGGGGAGUGAAAUCCCUUACGUAACGAAGCUAACGCGUGAAGUUGACCGCCUGGGGAGUACGGUCGCAAGAUUAAAACUCAAAGGAAUUGACGGGGACCCGCACAAGCGGUGGAUGAUGUGGAUUAAUUCGAUGCAACGCGAAAAACCUUACCUACCCUUGACAUGUCCAGAACCCUGCAGAGAUGCGGGGGUGCCCGAAAGGGAAUUGGAACACAGGUGCUGCAUGGCUGUCGU
rnacentral:rRNA from 1 species